GUGUCAGCCGCCGCGGUAAUACGUAGGGAGCAAGCGUUGUCCGGAAUCAUUGGGCGUAAAGCGCGCGUAGGCGGCCCUGUAAGUCCGCUCUGAAAGUCCAAGGCUCAACCUUGGAAAGCGGGUGGAUACUGCAGGGCUAGAGUCCGGAAGAGGCGGGUGGAAUUCCUGGUGUAGCGGUGGAAUGCGCAGAUAUCAGGAGGAACACCAACGGCGAAGGCAGCCCGCUGGGACGGUACUGACGCUGAGGCGCGAAAGCGUGGGGAGCGAACAGGAUUAGAAACCCCGGUAGUCC
rnacentral:rRNA from 1 species